rnacentral:rRNA from 1 species
AGGACGAACGCUGGCGGCGUGCUUAACACAUGCAAGUCGAGCGGAAAGGCCCUUCGGGGUACUCGAGCGGCGAACGGGUGAGUAACACGUGAGUAAUCUGCCCCUAUGCUCUGGGAUAGCUCCGGGAAACCGGGAUUAAUACCAGAUACGACCACUUUAGACAUCUGUUGUGGUGGAAAGAAUUUUGGCUAGGGAUGAGCUCGCGGCCUAUCAGCUUGUUGGUGAGGUAACGGCUCACCAAGGCGACGACGGGUAGCCGGCCUGAGAGGGCGACCGGCCACACUGGGACUGAGACACGGCCCAGACUCCUACGGGAGGCAGCAGUGGGGAAUAUUGCGCAAUGGGCGAAAGCCUGACGCAGCGACGCCGCGUGGGGGAUGAAGGCCUUCGGGUUGUAAACCCCUUUCAGCAGGGACGAAGCGAAAGUGACGGUACCUGCAGAAGAAGCGCCGGCUAACUACGUGCCAGCAGCCGC